AUGAUAUUCUACAAAACUAGAAGCUAUCUAGACUACUUCAACAUUCAUCUGGGUAGAGACGCUUCGUCACAUCAAGCUACGAGAAAGAAUAUCAUCAUCUCACAGAAUUCUACUCGAACACCGCAUCGAAAUCAGACUUUGAAAUGCGGGCGUCAAAAACCAUGAUUGCUCUCUACUUUCUGAUUGCAUUUGCCGUGGCAGCAAGUAUUUCAUCAGUCGAGGAAGAUGAGAUCGACAGUUCUGAUGAGUUGAAUGUCAGUGAGAACACCAAGAACGAUACAGCUGACAUCCAGCUGAAGGGAUGGCCCUAUUAUACAGGAUCACAAAAGUAGCAUCAGCUAUGUUCUGAUAAGGAGCACUAAAGAUCCGCAUCUUGAUCUUGUCCAAAAGCAUCGUAAUCCUCCAAGUAAUAGUAGCAUCGACAAGUUCGGGAAGCAGACUAGCUGGAUCUUCUUCGUGUGGUCAGACGACUUCUCUGUUUAUUGAGACUUUUGUCAAAUUAAUGCGAGAAAAAUAAUCAUUGGUGAUCAGUCAUCACUGACAUUAACCCUAUAGCCAUCAAAUUCAUGCAAAACAUUGCCCCCCCCCCCUCCCCCACUCUGAAUCUUGCCUUUUAAAUUAAACAAAAUCAAUAAAUAUAUAUAAUACAAUUUACAGUCAGUUUCAAAGUAUAGUAUCAAUACGCCUAUAUGUAGCCUAAUGUUUUGUUGAAAGCUGGGGGGUGUUUCAUAAAGCUGUUCGUGAGUUACGCAUGACUUUACGAA